UAUCAUAGGAAUAGCUUUUCAAUAUGAAUGUUAUGACUGCUUCCGCUGCCAUACUAAAUAAAUUGCAUGAGGUGUUUUAUUUAUUGUAAUUAUGUGUUAUCUUGUUUUUGCAGACUUUGAAUGAGGUGACAACUGGAAAUGAGGACAUGGACACCUCAGAUACAUUUGACAGUGAUCUUGACGUCUCCGACGUAACUGAGGCAGCCAACGAAAACUUGGGCAUUGACAGACAUGAUACAUUCUUCCUAUUUGGAGAUAUUGCUAUGGAAACUAGGAUUCGGAAUGCUUCUCCAUGCACGGCUCGAGAUUGCAAGUGGCCUAAAAAAGCAAGAAUGGGGUUGUGCCUGUGUAUACGUCUUUGUAUAGUAAGUGUAUUUUUGAAUCAAUUUUGUAUAGUGGCCAUUCACACAACUUUCAUUAUGGCCCCCUUUGCUGUCCAAUUUAAAGGGUCCUAAAUUCAGUGCGGUGAAAAUCGUCUCAUUCGUUCUUUGCAGCUUUAGAGGAGCAAGAUAUCAUCAUAAAAGGACCCAUCUCCUUCCACCGGUCUACCUGCAUCCAAUAUGUGUGGUGGAAGCGGCAUCAAGAUUAUUUUGUAUUUCCACCCUGGAAAUGGGUGUUACAAGUAGACGUUCAAGUGAAAAGGGGCGGCAGCGUAGCCUAGUGGUUAGAGCGUUGGACUAGUAACCGGAAGGUUGCGAGUUCAAACCCCCGAGCUGACAAGGUACAAAUCUG